AUUGAACGCUGGCGGCAUGCCUUACACAUGCAAGUCGAACGGUAACGGGCCUUCGGGUGCCGACGAGUGGCGAACGGGUGAGUAAUGCAUCGGAACGUACCCAUCAGUGGGGGAUAACUUUCCGAAAGGAGGGCUAAUACCGCAUAUUCUGUGCGCAGGAAAGCGGGGGACCGCAAGGCCUCGCGCUGAUGGAGCGGCCGAUGUCAGAUUAGCUAGUUGGUGGGGUAAAGGCCUACCAAGGCGACGAUCUGUAGCGGGUCUGAGAGGAUGAUCCGCCACACUGGGACUGAGAAACGGCCCAGACUCCUACGGGAGGCAGCAGUGGGGAAUUUUGGACAAUGGGGGCAACCCUGAUCCAGCCAUGCCGCGUGAGUGAAGAAGGCCUUCGGGUUGUAAAGCUCUUUCGGCCGGGAAGAAAUCGCAUCUCCUAAUACGGGGUGUGGAUGACGGUACCGGAAUAAGAAGCACCGGCUAACUACGUGCCAGCAGCCGCGGUAA
rnacentral:rRNA from 1 species